UACACGACCGUACCGCAAACCGACACUGGUGCGCGAGAUGAGUAUUCUAAGGCGCUUGAGAGAACUCAGGAGAAGGAACUCGGCAAAUUGACACCGUAACUUCGGAAGAAGGUGUGCCUUUAGUAGGUGAACCUGUACAAGGGGAGCCCAAUGAGGUUGCAAAAAAUCGGUGGCUGCGACUGUUUAAUAAAAACACAGCACUCUGCAAACACGAAAGUGGACGUAUAGGGUGUGACGCCUCCCCGGUGCUGGAAGAUUAAAUGAUGGGGUGCAAGCUCUUGAUUGAAGUCCCAGUAAACGGCGGCCGUAACUAUAACGGUCCUAAGGUAGCGAAAUUCCUUGUCGGGUAAGUUCCGACCUGCACGAAUGGCGUAACGAUGGCCACACUGUCUCCUCCUGAGACUCAGCGAAGUUGAAAUGUUUGUGAUGAUGCAAUCUCCCCGCGGAAAGACGGAAAGACCCCAUGAACCUUUACUGUAGCUUUGUAUUGGACUUUGAACAGAUCUGUGUAGGAUAGGUGGGAGGCUUUGAAGUGUGGUCGCUAGAUCGCAUGGAGCCAACGUUGAAAUACCACCCUGGUGUGUUUGAGGUUCUAACCUAGGCCCGUAAUCCGGGUCGGGGACAGUGCAUGGUAGGCAGUUUGACUGGGGCGGUCUCCUCCCAAAGCGUAACGGAGGAGUUCGAAGGUACGCUAGGUACGGUCGGACAUCGUGCUAAUAGUGCAAUGGCAUAAGCGUGCUUAACUGCGAGACUGACAAGUCGAGCAGAUGCGAAAGCAGGACAUAGUGAUCCGGUGGUUCUGUAUGGAAGGGCCAUCGCUCAACGGAUAAAAGGUACUCUGGGGAUAACAGGCUGAUACCGCCCAAGAGUUCAUAUCGACGGCGGUGUUUGGCACCUCGAUGUCGGCUCAUCUCAUCCUGGGGCUGUAGCCGGUCCCAAGGGUAUGGCUGUUCGCCAUUUAAAGAGGUACGUGAGCUGGGUUUAAAACGUCGUGAGACAGUUUGGUCCCUAUCUUCCGUGGGCGCUGCAGAUUUGAGGAAGCCUGCUCCUAGUACGAGAGGACCGGAGUGGACACACCUCUGGUGUAUCGGUUGUCACGCCAGUGGCAUUGCCGAGUAGCUAUGUGUGGAAGAGAUAACCGCUGAAAGCAUCUAAGCGGGAAACUCGUUUCAAGAUGAGAUCUGCCGGGGCCUUGAGCCCCCUAAAGAGUCGUUCAA
rnacentral:rRNA from 1 species